rnacentral:rRNA from 1 species
CCUACGGGUGGCAGCAGUGGGGAAUAUUGCGCAAUGGGCGAAAGCCUGACGCAGCGACGCCGCGUGCGGGAUGAAGGUCUUCGGAUCGUAAAGCUCUGUCAGCAGGGAAGAACGGUCACUGUGCUAAUCAGCAGCGAAUUGACGGUACCUUGAAAGGAAGCACCGGCUAACUCUGUGCCAGCAGCCGCGGUAAUACAGAGGGUGCGAGCGUUAAUCGGAAUUACUGGGCGUAAAGCGGUCGUAGGCGGUAUGUCAAGUCAAGGGUGAAAUCCCCGGGCUCAACGUGGGAACUGCCUUUGAUACUAGCAAACUAGAGUGAGAGAGAGGAAAGUGGAAUUCCAGGUGAAGGGGUGAAAUGCGUAGAUAUAUGGAAGAACAUCAGAGGCGAAGGCGACUAACUGGCUCAAUACUGACGCUGAGGAGCGAAAGCGUGGGGAGCAAACAGGAUUAGAUACCCGUGUAGUC